AGCUCCCGAUCCCUCCUUCUCCCUGUUCGUGCUAUGCGGCCGUUGGUACUAGUAUUUUCGUUCGAUUAUUGCUGGUUACGAUCGGUUGCGUUGUCGUUUGGAGUAGAUCCGCGGGCGGGCGGUUCCGCGGUGGCAUUGUUAUUGCUGAUCGAUUGCGGUUAAGUCGAUGUGAAUUUCCUCUGGAUUUUGCCUGUUUUGUCGAGUAGAUCUGCGGAUUUGAGGCGCGAUUGGUGCUAGGGUCGCUCUAUAGUACAUAGCUCAGGUUAUAUCUGUUAUAUUGCAAGUAUGCCUGACUUUCAGUAAUUUACGUGCUUAGUCUUUGUGCACCUCGUACUUGUUUGUAGAAUCUGUUGCUGUGCAUCGAUCAACUCUGAAAUUGUUCAUCUGUUAAGGUGUAGAUGGGCGACUCUGCUCUGUUGGUGCUAAAUGUUCGCAGUAUUCCGGUAGAUUCUUGAUUUUUGUAGCGCUCAGGUAGCAAUUAAAUUCUCUACGUGCCUGAUUUGUGAAGGGAUAUAAGCCUGGAAUUUGUUGAUGGGCAGCUUGUAGUUGCUUGUAGGAUCCGUAGUUGUGCACCCGACUCUAUUCUGGACUUCAUGUGAGUGGGAUGAUAUUACUGCUGGUUCAUCUAAGUGUGUUGUGUACUUUACCAUAGAACUGCUAGAAGUUGGAUCAAACUAGUUACACGAGUGGCUUUUUUCUUCUUUAUGUUGAUAUGUUCGGUUGUUCGUAACUACAAUUUCUCUACUGGAUCGUGGCAUAGCGGUUCUGUUCUGAAGAUAUCCGUGUACUGUGCCUUAGUAGGCCUGGAAUUUACUGAUAAGCAGGUUGCAGUUGCUUGUAUAAUCCGUAGUUGUGUAUCCAACUCUAUUCUGUAAGUCAUGUGAGCUGUAUGAUACUACUGUUGAUUCA